AACAAACGCUGGCGGCGUGUCUUAAGCAUGCAAGUUGAGCGGCAAGGGGGAGCAAUCCCCCCUAGAGCGGCGGACUGGUGAGUAACACGUGGAUGAUCUACCCAUGGCAUGGGGAUAGUCACUAGAAAUAGUGGGUAAUACCGAAUACGGUGCGUACUGUGAGGGUACGCAAGAAAGGUGCUACGGCACCGGCCUAGGAUGAGUCUGCGUCCCAUUAGCUAGUUGGUGAGGUAAGAGCCCACCAAGGCGAUGAUGGGUAGCCGGCCUGAGAGGGUGUACGGCCACACUGGGACUGAGAUACGGCCCAGACUCCUACGGGAGGCAGCAGCUAAGAAUAUUCCGCAAUGGACGAAAGUCUGACGGAGCGACGCCGCGUGGAUGAAGAAGGCCGAAAGGUUGUAAAGUUCUUUUGUUGGGGAAGAAUAACCAUGGGAGGGAAUGCCCGUGGGAUGACAUGAACCGACGAAUAAGCCCCGGCUAACUACGUG
rnacentral:rRNA from 1 species